GCUCUGUCUAUGCAUCAAAAUUCCUGUGUCAGCUUUCUCUCUAUGUGUAUCUCAAUUUAUUUCGAUUUUUUUUUCCCAAGAUGGCUGAUCUGGCCACAGGAAUUUAGGAGGAACCAGAAGAGCAAAAAUAUAGAGGUAUACCUCUUCUCUAACUCAGUUUCUUGCUGUAACCAAUAGAUCGUCAUUAGUUCGCUGAUUUUUUCGUGCCAUAGCACCUCCUGUUUUAUAUAGAUAAAUCCAGAUCGUUAAAAGAGGUAUAUGUAAUCCCAUCAUUAUCUUAUUUUGCUGCAUGAUCAUCAUAGUUUUCUACUGUGGUGCUAUACUUCAAAUUGUGUUUUUUUACAGUUCGAUGAAGAAUGUUUCUUUGUAGCCACGGUUUUUUUGCAUGAAUAAUCAUGAAAACAGGUUUUUCUCACAAACCCCUAUUUCAAGGUGCAGGGCUUAGAACGUGGUUUCGGAAUCAUGACUUCCUAUUUUGUUCUAGCAUGAGCAUGAUGUCCUCCCAAUGUUGUUUGAUCAUGAGUUCAUGCUCGCAAACUGUAGGCUAGCUUCAGCAUGAUGGUUUUUCGCCUGGACAUGGACAUGGGGUUAAUUUUCCAUGGCAUGUGGUGGGGUGCUUUCUUCCAUAGAGACACUAUGAUUUUACAUGACCAUAAACAGCUGGGUGUUGGUUCUCCUUACAAGCGAAAUCUUAUCGCAAACAAGCAACUACCUAUUUCGUGUUUUUUAUUUAUGUUGCACUAGGUUACGUUUUCCUCCGUAUAUAUUUUUUUCACAAUUUUUCCGCUUCCAUGUAUUCAAACAGCUGGUUCAUAUGUUAACAAGAUGUUUCGUUGUUUAGAAAUUGUCUGAUUAUUGUGCUUUAUUUUCUAGCCAAGAACACUCCACCUACGUCUACUUAUUUCAUGUAUUUUCUUUCUUAUGUACUAGGUUAUAUGUGAAUUCAUGUAUUUUCUUUCUUAUGUACUAGGUUACAUGUGUGCUCUGUAUUUCCAAGCAAGAAGAAUAUUCCGUGCAUUUUUUAUAUUUUGAAACCAAGUUCUAUUGCCCCACGGUUUAUCUAUUCUUUUAAACUUCCCCAUUGUAACAUAUUCAAACUCUUGGUCCUUUAGUCUUCAGGCUAGAUUCUUUUCUAACAAUAGCUUACAUAUUGUGUUAUGUAUUUUCUCUUCUUCUUUACAUUUAACUCUAUAGCCCGUCUACUCUUCUGUGUUCCAGCUUGGAACAUCGGCUUGAAAAUCUGGUAGGUAUCCUCUUUUGUUGUAAUCUAGAGCAUCAUAAAAUGCUUUAUUUUAUUUGUUCUUAUAUAGUUUGUACAUACAGUUAUCUUGGUAUGGGUGAUGGAAGUGUACAGAAGAACAUGCUGAAAUUAAGAAAUGAAGAUCUGCAGCUUGGGUGGUGACACACACAAAAAUUGAUGACGCCCUUACUAAAUGAAUGGGAAGGCGUACCCUUGAACUUUAUUAUGACGUACCUGAGAUUGCUAGAUAAUUCCAACUGUGAAGUUCAUUAUGGACAUCAUACUCCACACAUCUCACUAUUGAUGUAGAUAUCUGCACUCCGUGAACAUAUGUUUAUUCUUGGUUUGAUGUUUCAGAUAUUGCAUCCGACGGUUUCCUGCAAAUGACAGAAUAUAGCCCUGGAGAAAUACUGGGAAGAGAUUGCAGAACAUUAGUUUGAUACUUUGUGAAAACAAAUGUGGGGCUCCAAAAGAAGCCCAUGGAAUCUGCUGAUGUCUUUCUAUACCAAUGCAUAUUAAUUAUCAGUUUGGAAAACAGAUAUCAUCUGCAGUGAUCAUUAAUAAAAGCCAGAGGAAGACUCUUAAUAAGGUGGGCGUUUACUUGCAUUAGCGGCCUUUUUGCGUGGGCAAUUCUAUGUUGCAAUCUCAAGUGAAUUCACGGGAGGUAUUAAUAAAAGUACUAGCUCUCCAUGAGUCUGGCGAGCCGACUACGCACGAGAAAUAUAGUCUACUGAGAAGUGCUUGGCCAUCUCUACGUGUUGCUGCUUACAUCGAUGUUUCUAGGACAACGAUCGUGUCAGAGGGCUUAGCUUAUCAAAUCAGCAGCUCACCGUUAUAGUUGCUCGGUUCUCAAGCUAUCUAAUAAAGAUGAAGUGUUCUAAUGAACGUAGUUUGCAUAGGAAAGGCAUAUGCCCAGAGCUUAGUUCCUGGACAUUUUGAGGCAGCGUCCUGACGGCUGCCUUCUCUGAGUGUCUUUCUACUAUGUGUAGUUCUGCAUAUGUGCAAUGAAUGAAUGUAUCAAGAGUUGCCUCUC